CUUCAGUGAUGAUACGAUGACGAGUCUGAACGGGUAAAUCUUUUCCAGUGGGUUGUGUCAACAUCACGUUCUGUGCUGUAGGCUUUAGCCCAUUGAGUUAAGAAUACCAGUUGUAUGAUGACCUUGAGGCAUUUGUCUGAGAAGG